rnacentral:rRNA from 1 species
UACGAGGGCCCCAAGCGUUAUCCGGAUUUAUUGGGCGUAAAGCGUGCGCAGAUGGUUUUGUGCGUCUUGUGUUAAAUGUCUCCGCUUAACGGAGUCACCGCAUAGGAUACGGCAAAACUAGAGGAUGUAAGAGGUGACUAGAACUCACGGUGUAGGGGUGAAAUCCGUUGAUAUCGUGGGGAAUACCGAAGGCGAAGGCAUGUCACUGGUGCAUUCCUGACAUUCAGGCACGAAAGCGUGGGUCGCGAAUGGG